rnacentral:rRNA from 1 species
GAUGAACGCUGGCGGCGUGCCUAAUACAUGCAAGUCGAGCGAACGGACGAGAAGCUUGCUUCUCUGAUGUUAGCGGCGGACGGGUGAGUAACACGUGGAUAACCUACCUAUAAGACUGGGAUAACUUCGGGAAACCGGAGCUAAUACCGGAUAAUAUUUUGAACCGCAUGGUUCAAAAGUGAAAGACGGUCUUGCUGUCACUUAUAGAUGGAUCCGCGCUGCAUUAGCUAGUUGGUAAGGUAACGGCUUACCAAGGCAACGAUGCAUAGCCGACCUGAGAGGGUGAUCGGCCACACUGGAACUGAGACACGGUCCAGACUCCUACGGGAGGCAGCAGUAGGGAAUCUUCCGCAAUGGGCGAAAGCCUGACGGAGCAACGCCGCGUGAGUGAUGAAGGUCUUCGGAUCGUAAAACUCUGUUAUUAGGGAAGAACAUAUGUGUAAGUAACUGUGCACAUCUUGACGGUACCUAAUCAGAAAGCCACGGCUAACUACGUGCCAGCAGCCGCGGUAAUACGUAGGUGGCAAGCGUUAUCCGGAAUUAUUGGGCGUAAAGCGCGCGUAGGCGGUUUUUUAAGUCUGAUGUGAAAGCCCACGGCUCAACCGUGGAGGGUCAUUGGAAACUGGAAAACUUGAGUGCAGAAGAGGAAAGUGGAAUUCCAUGUGUAGCGGUGAAAUGCGCAGAGAUAUGGAGGAACACCAGUGGCGAAGGCGACUUUCUGGUCUGUAACUGACGCUGAUGUGCGAAAGCGUGGGGAUCAAACAGGAUUAGAUACCCUGGUAGUCCACGCCGUAAACGAUGAGUGCUAAGUGUUAGGGGGUUUCCGCCCCUUAGUGCUGCAGCUAACGCAUUAAGCACUCCGCCUGGGGAGUACGACCGCAAGGUUGAAACUCAAAGGAAUUGACGGGGACCCGCAUAAGCGGUGGAGCAUGUGGUUUAAUUCGAAGCAACGCGAAGAACCUUACCAAAUCUUGACAUCCUUUGACAACUCUAGAGAUAGAGCCUUCCCCUUCGGGGGACAAAGUGACAGGUGGUGCAUGGUUGUCGUCAGCUCGUGUCGUGAGAUGUUGGGUUAAGUCCCGCAACGAGCGCAACCCUUAAGCUUAGUUGCCAUCAUUAAGUUGGGCACUCUAAGUUGACUGCCGGUGACAAACCGGAGGAAGGUGGGGAUGACGUCAAAUCAUCAUGCCCCUUAUGAUUUGGGCUACACACGUGCUACAAUGGACAAUACAAAGGGCAGCGAAACCGCGAGGUCAAGCAAAUCCCAUAAAGUUGUUCUCAGUUCGGAUUGUAGUCUGCAACUCGACUACAUGAAGCUGGAAUCGCUAGUAAUCGUAGAUCAGCAUGCUACGGUGAAUACGUUCCCGGGUCU